CACCGAGUCCGAGGUUCCGGGGUGACCGGAACUUGGUGCAAAAGGGA
ncrna:Streptomyces hokutonensis raiA-hairpin RNA